UUAACACAUGCAAGUCGAGGGGCAGCAUGGUCUUAGCUUGCUAAGGCCGAUGGCGACCGGCGCACGGGUGAGUAACACGUAUCCAACCUGCCGUCUACUCUUGGACAGCCUUCUGAAAGGAAGAUUAAUACAAGAUGGCAUCAUGAGUCCGCAUGUUCACAUGAUUAAAGGUAUUCCGGUAGACGAUGGGGAUGCGUUCCAUUAGAUAGUAGGCGGGGUAACGGCCCACCUAGUCUUCGAUGGAUAGGGGUUCUGAGAGGAAGGUCCCCCACAUUGGAACUGAGACACGGUCCAAACUCCUACGGGAGGCAGCAGUGAGGAAUAUUGGUCAAUGGGCGAGAGCCUGAACCAGCCAAGUAGCGUGAAGGAUGACUGCCCUAUGGGUUGUAAACUUCUUUUAUAAAGGAAUAAAGUCGGGUAUGGAUACCCGUUUGCAUGUACUUUAUGAAUAAGGAUCGGCUAACUCCGUGCCAGCAGCCGCGGUAAUACGGAGGAUCCGAGCGUUAUCCGGAUUUAUUGGGUUUAAAGGGAGCGUAGAUGGAUAUUUAAGUCAGUUGUGAAAGUUUGCAGCUCAACCGUAAAAUUGCAGUUGAUACUGGAUAUCUUGAGUGCAGUUGAGGCAGGCGGAAUUCGUGGUGUAGCGGUGAAAUGCUUAGAUAUCACGAAGAACUCCGAUUGCGAAGGCAGCCUGCUAAGCUGCAACUGACAUUGAGGCUCGAAAGUGUGGGUAUCAAACAGGAUUAGAUACCCUGGUAGUCCACACGGUAAACGAUGAAUACUCGCUGUUUGCGAUAUACUGCAAGCGGCCAAGCGAAAGCGUUAAGUAUUCCACCUGGGGAGUACGCCGGCAACGGUGAAACUCAAAGGAAUUGACGGGGGCCCGCACAAGCGGAGGAACAUGUGGUUUAAUUCGAUGAUACGCGAGGAACCUUACCCGGGCUUAAAUUGCAGAUGAAUUACGGUGAAAGCCGUAAGCCGCAAGGCAUCUGUGAAGGUGCUGCAUGGUUGUCGUCAGCUCGUGCCGUGAGGUGUCGGCUUAAGUGCCAUAACGAGCGCAACCCUUGUUGUCAGUUACUAACAGGUUAUGCUGAGGACUCUGACAAGACUGCCAUCGUAAGAUGUGAGGAAGGUGGGGAUGACGUCAAAUCAGCACGGCCCUUACGUCCGGGGCUACACACGUGUUACAAUGGGGGGUACAGAGGGCAGCUACCAGGCGAGUGGAUGCCAAUCCCUAAAACCUCUCUCAGUUCGGAUUGGAGUCUGCAACCCGACUCCAUGAAGCUGGAUUCGCUAGUAAUCGCGCAUCAGCCACGGCGCGGUGAAUACGUUCCCGGGCCUUGUACACACCGCCCGUCAAGCCAUGGGAGCCGGGGGUACCUGAAGUGCGUAACCGCAAGGAGCGCCCUAGGGUAAAACUGGUGACUGGGGCUAAGUC
rnacentral:rRNA from 1 species